rnacentral:ncRNA from 1 species
UUCGCAUUAUUUGGUUUUAUAGAUCUUGGUUCCUUGGAUUUAGUAAUGGUUUUUAGUACUGGUUAAGUUUGUGCCAGCAGCCGCGGUUAUACAUUAAGUGCUAUUGAAUAUUUUUGGUUGUGCAGUUUUAUUGUUUAUUGGCGGGGCUUUAAGUUGGGGUUAAGGUUGGUAGUUAGGUGAAAUUUUUAUUCUUGUUUGUUGCUUUUUGUUUGUUUUGUAGGCUGUGAAAUCUUUUUUGUAAACUAGGAUUAGAUACCCUAUUAUUUUUGAUGUUAAUUAUUUUUCCUGGGUAGUAUUAGAUAUUUUCUUGAAACCCAAAGAAUUUGGCGGUAUCCCAUUCCUUUCAGAGGAAUCUGCCCCUUAAUCGAUAAUCCGCGCUGGACCUUUCUUAAUUUUUGUUUGUAUACCGCCGUUGUAAUGAGGAUCUUUUUAGUGUUACUAAUUUUCUGGCUUCAUUAUUUUGAUUUAUUUCAGGUCAAGGUGCAAUUUGUUUUUAAGUGUGAGGUGGAUUACAAUGUGUUGUUGAGUUUUCGGAUUAUUGGCUGAGAUCGUUUAUAUGAAGUUGGAUUUGGUUGUAAUUUGUUGAAGAUUGUUUGGAUGAUGUUGGUUCUGGGAUAUGUACACAUCGCCCGUCGCUCUCAUUAUUUUUGAGAUAAGUCGUAACAUAGUGGUCGUACCGGAAGGUGUGGCUGGAUUGAU